rnacentral:rRNA from 1 species
UACGGAGGGUGCAAGCGUUAAUCGGAAUUACUGGGCGUAAAGCGUGCGCAGGCGGUUUGUUAAGUCCGCUGUGAAAUCCCCGAGCUCAACUUGGGAAUUGCAGUGGAUACUGGCAAGCUGGAGUAUGGUAGAGGAAGGUGGAAUUCCCGGUGUAGCAGUGAAAUGCGUAGAGAUCGGGAGGAACACCAGUGGCGAAGGCGGCUUCCUGGUCUGCGACUGACGCUGUGGCGCGAAAGCUAGGGGAGCAAACGGG